GAGAGACAAGGAAAUGCUGUCACCGCCGUUAACGCGCACGUGGAGGUUUGUUAAAGGUAUAGGGACUGCAGCCGCCCAGGCGGGGGGCGGGGAAUGAGUCGCUGGGGGCUUGAGGGGAGCGGUCAGUGUUAAGUGGCUGGCCCCUAGCAGGUGCCUGGAGGCGAGCCUAGUGCAGGAAGUAUCCCCUGGGGGGGAAGCCGGUGGGCUGGGAAAGGACAAAUGGAAACGGAAUUAGGGGCCAGACUCUGAGGCAAGGUGAUGGGGAGACACAGAAGGAGGGGCAGUCCGGUUGGGGGAAGAAAUUGGGGCUGGAGAGCGGGAGAGGUUGAAGUGAGUUGUGGAUCACACAGGAUAGGUGCUGUGUAUUGUGCGUGAGUGUAUGGGCGGGGGUUCUCUGGAGUGGGGAGGCAGGAGAUGCAGCAGGGUCAGGAAGAGACUGUGGGGUGGGAGAGAAGACUGCUGAAUGGAAAGGGGGAAAGGGAAAUUUGGGAUCAAGCCAUCCCAGACCAGAGCCCUCUUCCUUGUGCAGCUCUGAGCUCCCUCUUUCUGCCUCAUUUAUUUAACUCUGGGUCAGAGCAUGCUGCGCCCUUUGCUUAUAGUUUCUCCUUCCGUGGUGCAGCGGAGUUCACACCAGCCAGUGUAAUGGUAGGUGGAAAGGUUGCCACUGCCCCACCUCUCCCUGGCCUCCCUCAUCUUAGCCGGGUUUCUCCCUUCUUCACGUUUUGCCCUUCCUAGGUAGUAGGAGUCUAGUUCCUGUGUAAUGCCAGCCAUAGCAGAGGGGAACUCAGCUAUGAGGGGGACUCAGGGAGGGGAAGCCGGGGGAACAGGUGGCUGUGCAGAGCCACGUCCAGACUGUGGACAAAGGGCUGAGACAUGGAACACCUACCAGUGCCCAUCCUGGCUUUGGCCUGGCUGGGGAAGCCUUGGGUCAAGUUCUCUCUGUAGUCCUGGUUUCCACCACCAACAGGAAGGGGAGCUCCAAGAGCCACUAGGCAGGCACCCCAGGACUGUGCCAGGAAGACCUGGGUUUAAGCCUUGCAUCCAUCAAUCUCAAGAUAUGGGACCUCAGGGACGGGAGGGGACGAACCGCCAAGGAUGUGUGCCCCUGAGCGGCCAUCAUCUCAGUUCCUCAUCUGUAAGCCAGAUGCCAAGCCAGCCUGGGAGAGAAGCGUCUCUCAGCCGGGAUCCCUGACAAAGACACACCUGCCCCAUGAGGAAGUCAGAAGUGCUUUACGCUCAGCCUUCACUGCAAAAGCGCCACGGCCCAGGUAACGAUCUGCAGCAUAUGGGUCACCGCUUUAAGUGAAUUUACGUAGGAUAACAGGUAUGGCCCCAAAGGCUUCACCAAGACUAGAACUAAUGACUGAAUAUAAUGAGAAGAAUGAAAAUAGAGUAAAUUCUGUUUUUGUUGAACGUGUACGUAUUUCUGUAUGUGAAUACAGCAGGAAAAGUCUUUGAAAAUGAUGAAAUGUUAAAACUCAUGAUCUCUUGGUGGUAGAAUUUUGCUUGACUUAAAGAAUUUUUCUCCUGGUUUUUGUGGAUUUUUUUUCAUUUUUCCUCAGUCAGUAUACUCUAUUCUGCUUUUUUUUUUAUAUAUAUAUAAAGAAAAAUAAAGAAUGUUGAGGAAGUAAUGAAGGGAAUCUCUACUCUGAACUUAAAUCUGAUAUAAGAGAAAUAGAAGUAAAGUGGAAAUCAUAAGAACUGGGGGGGGAGAAUCUAUGCCAUCUUGUAGUUCAGAAAUCACUAAGGAAAAGGACCCCAGGCAGUGAGACUUGCAUCCUGAGCUUCUGAAAACUGGCUUUCGGGAAAUACAGAAACAAGGUUAUUAUUUCGGAGAAAUAAACCGUGUGAGAAGUCAAAGGGCAGCUCUGGACAAAAUUGUACGGGGAGAUCCUGAAAUACUGCAGACACUGAUCCUUGGCAAAAUCCAUGAACACAUGACCAAACAGCACAGUACAAUUACUGAAGGAAACAAUGAUUGUAAGGAGUAAGCACAGGGUUGCAAAAACAGAGCCAUGCUGUCUCAUGGGGUUUUGCAUGGAUACAUCAAGAGAAGGGUAUAUACUGUGCUUUUUAUUUCAACAAGGUAUCUGACAUCUUCAUAAUAUUCUUAUGAACAAGAAGGGAAGAUACUGCAGGCAGGACAGCCUAGUUUGGGGACUAAGCCAGAUGUGCCUCCCCCUUAAGUGCUGAGAUCCUCCCAUCCUGAGGGGUUUGCUGCUGCAAGGGCAACCAGGGUGUCUCAAACUAUGGGUGGGUCCCAGGACGAGGGUCUGCAGCGUCCCCUUGGAGGCACAUGCUUUUUCUGCCAGAAUGUUUUCUUCUUGUGUUAUCACUGUGACAGUCAUCUUUUAAAAAUGAGCAUCCACUGGGUGACUGCUGCUUUACCAAGCUGCCUGCUUCAGGGCUGGUGUGUAUGUGUGUGUGCGUUUCUAACUGUACUGGUGCCAGGUGGCACCACUCUGACUGCGUGGGCUAAUUAAGACAACUUAAUUCUGCACAUUUAAUUCAUGCUACAUUUGUGCAAAGUGAGGUAUGACGGCUCCUCAGAAGCGUGGGAGGAGUGUGUUGCUUGGCACGAGACACUGCAGGGUAGGCGUGUGAAACUCAAGGAGCCCAAAGUGUCAAGUUGGCCGUGCUUAUGCUGACAGCAGUGAUCUGGGUUCAAUCAAAUGUCAUCCUCCCAGAAUGAGGCUCUUGAUGUGACUUUUACUGGCUUUUUGGUAAUUAUUUAAUUAAUUUUACAGGAGCCAGAUCAAUGAGCUAUAAACAGAUUUCUGUGCCUAAUUAAGUAAAGUUGCAGCAUUAUAAUGAAAACACUCUAAGUUGACUCAAAAACAUUUUUCCUUUAGAGCAGUGGUGUUCAAACUAUUUAGACCAUGAACCACAGUUAAAAACAGUUUACGUCAAGACCCAGUAUGUGCGUACCCACACGCUUCCCUGUCCUGUGCUCAUCCAGUGCGUUUCCUGAAACAGAGUCUGCCCUUCCUAUGUGUGAUGGACUUGGGUAUUCUACUCUAUUUCAUCUUUUUACAUGCUGGCUGUGACUCAGUAAAUUGGUUCUGUGCCCCAGAGAAUGGAAAAGGCGGCUUUAGAGUGGUUGAUCCACCACCCAAGUUUGGAAAACCAUGCAAAGGCCAAGCAGACAAGUUCAACUUGCAGAUGUCCCAAACCGAGGAUUAUAAAUACACUGGGUGUUGGUAUUAGGGUUCAAAGAGAUCUCUAAAAACUAGUAUGUGCAGUGCUUUAGAGCACGAGGCUCCAGACCUAAAUGAGAGUUGGGGUUGCGCCGUCAUCAGUGGGGUGGCUGGGGCAUCCCUCUCAGGCUCACUGUGCCACCUACAGGACAGAGAACAGCACCCUCCUGGGAUCCUGGGAGGCGUCAGUAAUUACUGUGGAGAGCAGCAAGCACACAGUGGGUAAUCAAUAAACAGUGGUUUAAACUUUGACGUUGAGUACAUCCUGCACUUGGGUUAAAAAAAAAAUGCACAUGCAUAUAGGAUGGAACAACAGAGCUUAAUAGUGGUUCUUCUGUGAAAAAGCCCCAGUGGGUUUGACUCAAAGCUAAACAGGAGGCAAUAGAAUCUAGAUAUGGUGGCCAAAACUCUAUUGCAAUCUUGGCUGCAUUUCCAGAAGUUCAAUCAUAGAGGAAUAAAAGUCGUCCUGGUGUGUUCGGCACAUUUGGGCCGUAUCUGGAGUGUCAGGUUUCGUUCUGAGGGAUAUUUUGAAAGGGGCAUUUUCCAUUGGAGCUUGCUCAGAGCACAGCAGCAAUGGUGUGGCCACUGAUAUCCAUCAAUGCUUUUAUCCCAUACGUGGUUCAAAGACUUCAGGCUGGAAACAUCAAGAAGGCAGAUUUUAAGGUGCCUGGCUGGCUCAGUAGCUAGAGCGUGUGACUUCUGAUCUCAGGGCUGUGAGUUUGAGCCCCAUGUUAGAUGUAGAGUUUACUUUAAAAGGGCAGAU